rnacentral:lncRNA from 1 species
GUUUUUGUUUUGGUGUUUUUUGUUUGGUACCGAGGAUCGAACUCGGGACCUUGCGCUUGCGAGGCAGGCGCCGGAAUCACUGAGCUAAAUCCCCGGCUCUAUGUUACUCGUUUUUUUAACGGCUGGGGGGCCGCAAAUUCACCUCAGAGGGAGAAGGGGAUGAGCGGCUGGAACCACUCUGUUCGGCUCCCGGACCACCUUUGGUACACUACCUAUACCUCUGCACCCUGUUCAACACUCUCGUCUAACCUGGAUACACUUCCUCCGAUUGAAUGAUCACCUGGCAGACGUUUUUUAAGGUUUGUCUUGGGACCAGACAUAAGGUGGCUCAACAUCAGACCCUUGCCGUGAACAGCUCACGAUCCCAACCACUGGCAAAUUACUGCUUUGGUUGCAAUGGAUGGUCCAAAAGGGUAAUUGAGGGACCUUCCUCUUUCGAGCCAGGCGACAGAACCACUGAGCUAAAUCCUCGGCCCCAAGAAGGACUUUUAAUUCA